rnacentral:lncRNA from 1 species
CGAGUGGUCGUUUAUGCGUCUUUAUGUGUGCGAGGGGGCGCGGGCGGGCUGGGUCUGGCGCUGCCUCUUUCUUCCGGGGGUCUGGGAGUGCGGGAUUUCUCGUUGUCCUCUUCAACCUUUCUGCUGUUCCGGGCGUGGGGUCCUUGUUCGGCUUUUUGGGGCGCGAACUUUCAGUGUGUCCUUGUGGGGGGGCCUCGUAUUUAUCUUGCUCCAUCGGGACCGCUUUUUUUGUUUUGUCCUCUCUUGUGAAUACCAGCUUGUUUUCUCUCGCCCAUCUGUUCGUCUUCUUGACCGGCUCUUUGUCUUUCUUGCUUUGGUCGCUG